AAGAGAAAAAUCUUGUUGCUAAAAUAAAGAAGACUGCCAAAACUGGAAAUGAAGCUGCAACUAAAAUUUUUGCCCGUCAACUUAUCAGGCUUAGGCAACAAAUUGCUAAUUUACAAGGUAGUCGAGCUCAGAUGCGAGGUAUAGCAACUCACACAUAGGCAAUGCAUGCCAAUACUUUAGUUGCUAAUGGCAUGAAAGGUGCAAAUAAGGUGAUGGAAGCCAUGAACAAGCAAAUGGCACUUGCAAAGCAAAUGAAGGUGAUUCAAGAAUUUCAGAAGCAAUCAACACAAUGGAUAUGACGAGUGAGAUGAUGUCAGAAUCGCUUGACAAUGUCUUAGACGAUGAUGAGGUCGAAGAGGAAACUGAGGAACUGACUAACCAGGUAAACUUUGCCUUUAUUUAAUACUAGAAUCUGCUCUAUGGAGCUAACCAUGUCAUGAGAGUUUUAGAAGUAGAGGAUGGGAUUAGUAGUUUUAAUUAGUACACUGCAUGCAUUAACAAUUUAUUCAUUGUUGUCUUUAGAUAUUCUGUCAGUAAUUUCAUGCUUUGCUGGCCCCAAAUAUCUGGGACAGGCUACAAUGAUAAUCUCUAACUUAUGGAAUAUUUUAGUGGAUGGAGUUGCUGCUAAUAGGUUUCCAUGGUGUGUUAUGGGGAUCUUCAAUGCCAUACUAUAUGAGAAGCAAAAGGUCCAUCAAUCAAUCUG